rnacentral:rRNA from 1 species
AUUGAACGCUGGCGGCAUGCUUCACACAUGCAAGUCGAACGGCAGCGGGGAGGAGCUUGCUUCUCUGCCGGCGAGUGGCGAACGGGUGAGUAAUACAUCGGAACGUGUCGAGAAGAGGGGGAUAACCACCCGAAAGGGUGGCUAAUACCGCAUAAAUUCUGAGGAAGAAAGCUGGGGACCUAGGAAUAGGCCUAGCGCUUUUUGAGCGGCUGAUGUCGGAUUAGCUAGUUGGUGAGGUAAAGGCUCACCAAGGCGAAGAUCUGUAGCGGGUCUGAGAGGAUGAUCCGCCACACUGGGACUGAGACACGGCCCAGACUCCUACGGGAGGCAGCAGUGGGGAAUUUUGGACAAUGGGGGCAACCCUGAUCCAGCCAUGCCGCGUGUAUGAAGAAGGCCUUAGGGUUGUAAAGUACUUUUGUUAGGGAAGAAAAGUCAGCUGUGAAUAAUGGCUGAUACUGACGGUACCUAAAGAAUAAGCACCGGCUAACUACGUG